GAAACGAAAAAUGCAGCCGAGGCAAAGGUGCAAUGCAAUGUGCCAGGCACCGCUGUUCGAGGCCUCAGUGUCACAUGAAACUGUGGAAGCUUGCACAUCUAGUCUCCUCAGUGCAAUAUGAGAGGACUGUCCCAGUUGGUGCCUCCAUAGAAAAUGAAUCGGCCUGAAUGCCUGUGCAAGAAUCACAACCUGGCUGCUCUAAAGACUCCGCACCGUAGUCCCAUGUGCAAGAGCCCCCACUUGACAGCCCAGUGGUUGCCAUGGACAAAGAGAUCCGCGAUACUGAAUGCGGCCAAGCAGUACAAGUUUUUACAUGGACAGUUAACACGAAGUUAUUGACGACAUGCAUGGCUGAAACACGGUGAUAUGAUUUUAAAAAUUCCUGUGUUAUGAUGCAAGUGAUAGUAUUCUGUUGAAUUUUCAGAUCUAGUCAUGUGCCAGCAAGGCCUGCUGUACUUCUGGUGUAUUCUAUGUUGUAUUUUCAAAUAAAGAUGUUGCAUUCUGAAGUUAGCCUUAUACUGCCUGUGGAACUGUCAAUUUAUACUCAGAUUAUUUAUACAAGCUAACGGCGCCUCCUCCUCAGGCGUUCAAAUUGUGUUUUGAACUGUAUUUUUGAGAACAUUACCGUUACAUAUUUGCU